CCUACGGGUGGCAGCAGUGAGGAAUAUUGGUCAAUGGGCGGAAGCCUGAACCAGCCAAGUCGCGUGAGGGAAUAAGGCCCUACGGGUCGUAAACCUCUUUUGCCGGGGAGCAAGGUCGGGGACGUGUUCCUUCCCGUAUAGUACCCGGAGAUAAAGCAUCGGCUAACUCCGUGCCAGCAGCCGCGGUAAUACGGGGGAUGCGAGCGUUCUCCGGAUUUAUUGGGUUUAAGGGGUGCGUAGGCGGGCAUUUAAGUCAGCGGUAAAAAUUCGGGGCUCAACCCCGUCCGGCCGUUGAAACUGGGGGCCUUGAGUGGGCGAGAAGAAGGCGGAAUGCGUGGUGUAGUGGUGAAAUGCAUAGAUAUCACGCAGAACCCCGAUUGCGAAGGCAGCCUUCCGGCGCCCGACUGACGCUGAGGCACGAAAGUGCGGGGAUCGAACAGGAUUAGAUACCCCAGUAGUC
rnacentral:rRNA from 1 species